GAUGAACGCUGGCGGCGUGCCUAAUACAUGCAAGUCGAGCGAACGGACGAGAAGCUUGCUUCUCUGAUGUUAGCGGCGGACGGGUGAGUAAAACGUGGAUAACCUACCUAUAAGACUGGGAUAACUUCGGGAAACCGUAGCUAAUACCGGAUAAUAUUUUGAACCGCAUGGUUCAAAAGUGAAAGACGGUCUUGCUGUCACUUAUAGAUGGAUCCGCGCUGCAUUAGCUAGUUGGUAAGGUAACGGCUUACCAAGGCAACGAUGCAUAGCCGACCUGAGAGGGUGAUCGGCCACACUGGAACUGAGACACGGUCCAGACUCCUACGGGAGGCAGCAGUAGGGAAUCUUCCGCAAUGGGCGAAAGCCUGACGGAGCAACGCCGCGUGAGUGAUGAAGGUCUUCGGAUCGUAAAACUCUGUUAUUAGGGAAGAACAUAUGUGUAAGUAACUGUGCACAUCUUGACUGUACCUAAUCAGAAAGCCACGGCUAACUACGUG
rnacentral:rRNA from 1 species